rnacentral:rRNA from 1 species
UACAGAGGGUGCGAGCGUUAAUCGGAAUUACUGGGCGUAAAGCGUGCGCAGACGGUCAUGUAAGUCGGGUGUGAAAGCCCCGGGCUCAACCUGGGAAUUGCAUUCGAGACUGUGUGGCUAGGGUGCGGAAGAGGGAAGCGGAAUUUCCGGUGUAGCGGUGAAAUGCGUAGAUAUCGGAAGGAACACCAGUGGCGAAGGCGGCGUUCUGGACUGUCUCUGACACUGAAGAACGAAAGCCAGGGGAGCAAACGGG